rnacentral:rRNA from 1 species
UCUGGUGACGAUAGCAGAAGGGUCACACCUGUUCCCAUACCGAACACAGAAGUUAAGCCUUCUAACGCUGAUGGUACUUGAGUGGAAACACUCUGGGAGAGUAGGAAGUUGCCAGAU